GAUGAACGCUGGCGGCGUGCCUAAUACAUGCAAGUCGAGCGAAUGGAUUAAGAGCUUGCUCUUAUGAAGUUAGCGGCGGACGGGUGAGUAACAUGUGGGUAACCUGCCCAUAAGUCUGGGAUAACUCCGGGAAACCGGGGCGAAUACCGGAUUACAUUUUGAACCGCAUGGUUCGAUAUUGAAAGGCGGCUUCGGCUGUCAGUUAUGGAUCGACCCGCGUCGCAUUAGCUAGUGGGUGAGGUAACGGCUCACCAAGGCAACGAUGCGUAGCCGACCUGAGAGGGUGAUCGGCCACACUGGGACUGAGACACGGCCCAGACUCCUACGGGAGGCAGCAGUAGGGAAUCUUCCGCAAUGGACGAAAGUCUGACGGAGCAACGCCGCGUGAGUGAUGAAGGCUUUCGGGUCGUAAAACUCUGUUGUUAGGGAAGAACAAGUGCUAGUUGAAUAAGCUGGCACCUUGACGGUACCUAACCAGAAAGCCACGGCUAACUACGUGCCAGCAGCCGCCGUAA
rnacentral:rRNA from 1 species